AUUGAACGCUGGCGGCAGGCCUAACACAUGCAAGUCGAACGAGUGGCGGACGGGUGAGUAAUGUCUGGGAAACUGCCCGCUGGAGGGGGAUAACUACUGGAAACGGUAGCUAAUACCGCAUACCCUCGGAUGUGACCAGAUGGGAUUAGCUUGUAGGUGAGGUAACGGCUCACCUAGGCGACGAUCCCUAGCUGGUCUGAGAGGAUGACCAGCCACACUGGAACGGAGACACGUGCCAGACGCGUACGGGAGGCAUCCGGGGGGAAUAUUGCACAAUGGGCGCAAGCCUGAUGCAGCCAUGCGGGGGGUAUGAAGAAGGCCUUCGGGUUGUAAAGUACUUUCAGCGGGGAGGCGUUACCCGCAGAAGAAGCACCGGCUAACUCCGUGCCAGCAGCCGCGGUAAUAC
rnacentral:rRNA from 1 species